GCCCGAAUGGCGGAACGGAAGACGCGCCGGACUCAAAAUCCGGUGUCCGCAAGGACGUGUGAGUUCGAAUCUCACUUCGGGCA
rnacentral:tRNA from 1 species